CAUUCAUUGAUUAUAUGAAUAGGAUUUUUUGCUAAAGAGGAUAAAAAUUGCGUGUUGAGAUUACGAAGUUAUAUAAUACAACUCUCCAUAUACGAUUUUGAUGUAGAAUAUAGGCCUGAUUCGCAGAUUUUUGUAUUGGUAUUCCCUUGACCAAAUAAUUCCCGAGUGCGUAGACAUAGACCCAGCAAGCGGCACACUAGGAGUUAACUUUCGGAAAUCAGUAUGGCGAAAGGCACCUAAGGUUUAAUAUCUCUAAAAUAAUCACCUUUAUCGAAAAAAUAUGUGAUAGGCGUAGUAGCGGACACCUUCCUACAUAACAGAUUCCUCUCAAUGGACAUAGGCUAACGGCUCGUGGAAUUCAGCUGCAAAUGGUAUACAAUCUACGCCAUCAAGCGAAAGUCUUCAUAACCAAGGGGGACUAUCAUGUCUAGGAAGCGUAUAACGAGGGUUUCGGACGAUGAAGACUUUUCGGUUUUUUUCGAAGUUUCCAAUGGUUCCAGAGAAGCAGAAAAAACAUAUCAUAUGCAACGGAGUCCUGUAAUUGAUUGUUUUUUUAGCCCUAUACCUGAUAUUCACUCAAAUCCAUGUUAUCGAAAUCCAUUCACUCAAAUCCAUGUGUAUUGAUCUACUCAAAAUGACUCAUCAACGCUCAUCGUUAUAUUUUCAAUUUCAACGUCAUCGUUUUCACUUUCCAAAAAAUCUUCGAGAUCCCUGCCAUCUUUUUUGGUGUUUUCGGAUGAAAAUAGCAGCAGCUCGAUUUCCAGCUUCCCAUUUUUCCAAAAGCUUUAUGCACGAGUCAAUUAAUCUUAUUAAGGAAAUUAUUAGAAGAAAAACAGAUGGGAAAAGACUGCCCGUUCCGCAAGAACUUUGUUAAAAACACAAUAUAAUUGAAUAAUGAACAGAUCCAUCUAAAGUUUUGUAAUGUC